CGUGGAAAUAUCACACGGGGAGGAGUGAGCCCUCAAAGAAACCCCAAAGCCGCUCGGGGGCUGCAUUGUUUAAAAAAAUAUGGAAGAGUAUCGAACUUGAUUUAAUUCCGGAGGAGGGAGAGAGGAGCGAGCAGCAGAAUGGGAAAGAGGCGGUUAGCGCAUGUGGCUUCCAGCAGCGACGAUGAACCAGACCAUCUCACUCCAAUUCCUCUCACAGCUCCUCCCGCCACUGUCACUGGCACCGGCACUGUCAGUAGCACCAAGGAGAAGGACAAGGGAGAAGAGCCAGGGGAAGAGGAGAAACAGAAAGAGGAGGGGGAAGAGGAUGAGGGCCCAGACUUGAGGCCACUCGGAGAAGUCAUUAAAAAGAGCGGUAGAGGUCGCAGCGAGAAGAAGCAUUACGCUGCAUUUGAUCUCGAUGGAAAUCGCUAUCAACUCGAAGACCCUGUAUUGGUAACUCCAGAAGAAAAAAAUGAGAAACCCUAUGUUGCUAUAAUAAAGGAGAUUAAACAAUCUAGAGAUGGUUCUAUUGCUAUUUUGGGGCAGUGGUUUUACCGGCCCGAGGAAGCUGAUAGAAAAGGUGGAGGCUACUGGCAAUCUCGUGAUACCCGUGAACUAUUUUAUAGUUUUCAUCAUGAUGAAGUUCCAGCUGAAUCAGUUAUGCAUAAGUGUGUUGCGCACUUUAUUCCACUAAACAAGCAGAUUCCACCUCGUUCAAAACAUCCAGGAUUUAUUGUGCAAAAAGUUUAUGAUACAGUUGAGAAAAAACUUUGGAAAUUAACUGAUAAGGACUAUGAAGAUUCCAAGCAGAAAGAAAUUGAUUUGCUUGUGCAGAAAACUCGAAAUGUUUUAGGAGAACUUCCUGAUGUUAUACCAGAUGAACUUGCAGCUGAUCAAGAAGAGCCUGAGAAGAACAAACGAAAUGUCCGAAGAAGAACCCUGGCACCUUUGAGUAUACAUAAGGAUGAAGAUGCAACUGGAAGAUCAGAACCAUUUGGAAAAGUAGAAACUCCAGGAAGUACUAUGCAUGAAGGGCAGGGUGGAAACUAUUCUGAGAUCUAUACUAUUUUAUUGAAUCAAAAUAUGCUAACUGGAGUGAGAUCACGGGAUAGAUGGCUAGAGAAAAUCAUCCAAGGAGUGAAACAUAUGUGCAGUGUAAAUGGACAAAUAAAUUCUAAAGACAAAAUGCAGGGGAAUACUGAAGCUAAACCCGUGUCGGCUGAGGAAGAAGCUCAAGAGCAGACUCAAAAGGCUGUAGAUCAAUCAGAUGGACUGCCAGAGAAAAUAACCGAAGACAGUAAGGUGGAGGAUAAUAUUGUGUGGCCUGAUGCAGCAGUGGAGGCAAUAGUUGCACUUGAAAAGGCUGCUUAUGAGAGUUUAGGUUCUGACAAUCACAAGUACAAUUUAAAAAUGCGGCAACUUGAAUUUAAUCUCAAGGGUAAUGCAAUACUAUCAAAACGUCUACUAAAGAAAGAGUUGGAAGCUUGCAUAGUUUUAAACAUGUCCCCUGCAGAAUUGAAGGAUGGGUUAACAACUGAGGAAAAAACUGCUCAAGAACCACAGGAGUUACAAACAAUGCAGAUGACAGAUGUUCGAUGUUCAAUUUGCACAGAGAAGAAGGUUGGUGUUAGAGAUAUCAUACAUGUUGGAUAUGGAGAUCGUUAUCAGUUGGAAUGCUUGAAGUGUGGCAAUUUAUGGUAUGCAUCGAGAGAUUCAAUCUCUUCGUUGACAAUAGAACCAGUAAAUCCUGUUAGUCCAGUUGGUACAGCACCUUUAGCAACCACAAAGUUCGAUGAAAUUGAAAAAGUGAUUGGUAGUUCUCGGGAAUCAGAGAAACCAGCAAAUGAAGAGAAUGUAAAGAAAGAAAUACCAGCAGGGAUACCUGUUAUAGAUCGUCAGAGUGCUGCUGGUGAUGUUGUCAUGGUACCCUCUGAUUCAAAGCCUUUGGAGACUAAAAAUACAAAAUCCUACUGAUAUUGCAGGAAAAAAAUUGUAUACAUUGUAGAAAUCAAGUUUUAUGGAAGUGUAACAAAAAGGUCCAAUAGCCAAAUUUGCACAAUUCCCACUUCAUUUAUGGUUACCUGAUGCAAAAUGGCUAUCUAGAAUGAAGUAAUCCCUUACACAAUUUUCUUUCUCCCACAAAAAAUAGCAAAGGUUGAGAUAGGCUCAAAAGCUCUUAUUAUUUGUAACAAAUGGUAUCUAAUUGGUUCAAUUUAUUAAUAUUUUGUUGCAUUUUCGUUGUGUUAUUUUUUUCUUAAUGACCAUUGAGAAACCAUAUGAAAUGAAUUUUUCUAAAAUUUUAUGUACGAUUUUGGAAUAGAAAUGAAAAUUGUGAUGUUCCUAUGAAUUAUAAUUAU